rnacentral:rRNA from 1 species
CGUUAAGUUGCAGGGUAUAGACCCGAAACCCGGUGAUCUAGCCAUGGGCAGGUUGAAGGUUGGGUAACACUAACUGGAGGACCGAACCGACUAAUGUUGAAAAAUUAGCGGAUGACCUGUGGCUGGGCAGCCGUCUUAUUGGUCAGAAUCAAACCUAUACCGUACAGG